rnacentral:rRNA from 1 species
UAUUUAUACCAGAAGCCGGUGAGCUAACCGCAAGGAGGCAGCCGUCCAAGGUAUGGACAGUGAUUGGGGUGAAGUCGUAACAAGGUAGCCGUAGGUGAACCUGCAGAAGGAUCA